AUUGAACGCUGGCGGCAUGCCUUACACAUGCAAGUCGAACGGCAGCGCGGACUUCGGUCUGGCGGCGAGUGGCGAACGGGUGAGUAAUACAUCGGAACGUACCCUGUUGUUGGGGAUAACUGGUCGAAAGAUUAGCUAAUACCGCAUACGACCUGAGGGUGAAAGUGGGGGAUCGCAAGGCCUCACGCAGCAGGAGCGGCCGAUGUCUGAUUAGCUAGUUGGUGGGGUAAAGGCCCACCAAGGCGACGAUCAGUAGCUGGUCUGAGAGGACGAUCAGCCACACUGGGACUGAGACACGGCCCAGACUCCUACGGGAGGCAGCAGUGGGGAAUUUUGGACAAUGGGGGCAACCCUGAUCCAGCAAUGCCGCGUGUGUGAAGAAGGCCUUCGGGUUGUAAAGCACUUUUGUCCGGAAAGAAAUCGCGCUGGUUAAUACCUGGCGUGGAUGACGGUACCGGAAGAAUAAGCACCGGCUAACUACGUG
rnacentral:rRNA from 1 species